AAUGAACGCUGGCGGCGUGCUUAACACAUGCAAGUCGAACGAGAAAGGGAUUGCUUGCAAUCCUGAGUAGAGUGGCGCACGGGUGAGUAACACGUAGAUAAUCUACCUCCAAGCCUGGAAUAACUAUUCGAAAGGGUAGCUAAUACCGGAUGAAGUUGUCAGGCCUAAGUCUGAUAAUGAAAGAUUGCCUCUCCCUGGAAGCAAUUGUUUGGAGAUGAGUCUGCGGACCAUUAGUUUGUUGGUGGGGUAAAGGCCUACCAAGACUACGAUGGUUAGCUGGUCUGAGAGGAUGAUCAGCCACACUGGAACUGGAACACGGUCCAG
rnacentral:rRNA from 1 species